rnacentral:rRNA from 1 species
CUGGGUUUGACAUAUGGGUAGUAGUGAAGCGAAAGCGGAACGACCCUUCGGGGAGCCUUUACAGGUGCUGCAUGGCUGUCGUCAGCUCGUGUCGUGAGAUGUUGGGUUAAGUCCCGCAACGAGCGCAACCCUCGUCGUUAGUUACAAGUGUCUAACGAGACUGCUGGUUUCAAACCGGAGGAAGGUGGGGAUGACGUCAAGUCAGCAUGGUCUUUAUGUCCAGUGCUACACACACGCUACAAUGGCCGGUACAAUUGGUUGCCACACCGCGAGGUGGAGCUAAUCCUAAAAGCCGGUCUCAGUUCAGAUUGCAGUCUGCAACUCGACUGCAUGAAGGUGGAGUUGCUAGUAACCGCGCGUCAGCCAUAGUGCGGUGAAUGCGUUCCCGGGCCUUGUACAC